GGGCACUGUCUGUAACCUGUUGAUUUGGCUAUAGCUAAUGGGUUCCAUUCCGGUGCAACAGAAUUUCUAGGGACACAUGACUGGUGGAUUUCGGUUUUGGGUCUUGGGGACGUGC